CGCAGCCCCGUCACGUUCAGUCCCUGCCUCCUCCGUGGCAGGAACUGGCCAGCCGGCUGCCACAGCACCGCCUGUAGCCCACGGGCGCCGCCGUCCCCCUCCCGUGGGACCCCGGGGAUUUAAAUAAAUAAAUAAAAAUAAAAAUCGUGCCGCAGACACCG